AUUGAACGCUGGCGGCAGGCCUAACACAUGCAAGUCGAGCGAGCGGCGGACGGGUGAGUAACGUCUGGGAAACUGCCUGAUGGAGGGGGAUAACUCCUGGAACCGGUAGCUAAUACCGCAUACCAUCAGAUGUGCCCAGAUGGGAUUAGCUAGUAGGUGGGGUAACGGCUCACCUGGGCGACGAUCCCUAGCUGGUCUGAGAGGAUGACCGGCCACACUGGAACUGAGACACGGUCCAGACUCCUACGGGAGGCAGCAGUGGGGAAGAUUGCGCAAUGGGCGCAAGCCUGAUGCAGCCAUGCCGCGUGUAUGAUGAAGGCCUUCGGGUUGUAAAGUACUUUCAGCGGGGAGGCGUUACCCGAAGAGGAAGCACCGGCUAACUCCGUGCCAGCAGCCGCGGUAAUAC
rnacentral:rRNA from 1 species